UGGACCCACUAAAGAGGUGUGUUUUUUCCAGGGGCUGGAGUGAACCUCACCUGUUGGACUGGCCUUCAGACAUGACUCAGGAGCAGAAUGAAUCACAGCUCGUAGUGUACCAAGAGUAGGAGGAAAGGCAACCUUGUCACCGUGGUGAGGCACUGAAGGCUGCUUGGAGGAGACAUCUUCAGACAGCAGGGCUUAAAGAAGAAAUGUAGCUUCCUCUCUGCUGGAACAGCGUGUUUCUGACAUCUGCUCACUGAAGAAACACUGGUGAAGGCAUGGUCCACCCCAGCACACAUACAAAUAUGAAGCUUUUCUGGAUAAUCCCAUUUUUCCUGCUGCAAGCCAGUGCAGAGCAGGUCAUGGAUGUCCCCACAGGCCUUGCCAGCACAGACAUGUAUGACCACGCAGCAGAUGUGACCCUUGCGCUGGGUAUAGGUCAAGAGGAGCUGGAUGAGCUGCUCUGGUUCUUCCGCACAGAAGACUCAUCAACAUGGAAUUACUCCGUCCUUGCGCUUUCCUUUGUGGCCAUGAUUUUGGGUCUUGUCCUUCUGGCCCUUAAUGUUACACGGAACAGGAAAAGGAAGAGCCACAUGUGCAGCGCAGCAGGGCAGACAGCUCAGCAGGCAGAGCUGGACGUCAAGCAAGCCCUGGUCCCUGUGGGGGAAUGCAGCCCCACUGAGCUGCAGAAGGAGGAUCCAGUGCCCCAGGAGCAGAGAUCAGGAGAAGUCGUGGUGCAGUGGAAGGAUGGGACCGUCACGUCUCUGUACACAGAGAAGUCUGAGGACGCCCUGUAA
rnacentral:lncRNA from 14 species